UACAUGUGGGGCAAGCGUUGUUCGGAAUUACUGGGCGUAAAGGGUGCGUAGGUGGUUUCUUAAGUCAGAGGUGAAAGGCUACGGCUCAACCGUAGUAAGCCUUUGAAACUGGGAAACUUGAGUGCAGGAGAGGAGAGUGGAAUUCCUAGUGUAGCGGUGAAAUGCGUAGAUAUUAGGAGGAACACCAGUUGCGAAGGCGGCUCUCUGGACUGUAACUGACACUGAGGCACGAAAGCGUGGGGAGCAAACAGG
rnacentral:rRNA from 1 species